UUGUCUCUCUCUCAAAUUAGGUGGUGACAGCUAGAGGCAUGGAAAAAAAGAAGAAAAAAGAUCUCUCUCACGCUCUCACAACAGAACCUCUGCUGCUCAUUAAGCCUUCACCAAAACUCUUACCCUCCCUAAAAAAAAGAGAGAACUUUGCUUCAUUAUUUAUUUUUCUAAUCUUCACCUAUAGUUUUCUUUUCUUACACUUGACCAAACAGCUAGCAAUAUACACAAAUCAGAGAAGUGUUUCCCUUGCUUUUUUUUCUUGGUAACGGUAAUACACCAGCUUAAGUUAUCUCCAUUGAUUUACCCUUUCAUCUUCACGAUAAAGCAAACAAAAUAAUCAAACCACCUAACCUCCAUUAACCCACCAUGAAACACACCGUUCUUUUCACGGUGCACCCCAACGCUCAACCUUACAUCUAUUUCCGACGAGCUUCCACUUCACUUUGCUGCCGGCAAAACAGAGCCAGUAAUUUUCAACCAUUUUAGCACCGUUUUCUAUUUCAAAAAAAUGUCCUGACAAUAGUGCACAAACUCAGCUCUGCCGCUAUACUUGCAAACCACACGGAACCGUCUAUGUCACCUGAGUCAUUGUCGUUUUCUUUUUUUCCGAUAGAUAAGAGGAAGUUGUUCAUUAUUUUGUGUUUUUGAGGUUUGUGUGCGGUGCAUUUUCUUUGUUUUGUUAGGAGUGAUGAUUCAAGUUAUUUCAUCUUAUUAAUUUUUUUUUAUUUUCACUGAAACAUGAAAUUGGUUUGGGGCAGCUUUUCAUUUCCUUAUACUGCAUUUUUGUUUUCAUUUUAGCAUAAAAAGAUGUUGUUGUUUUUGCUUUUUAUGUGUUGCAUUAGAUGAGUAGAAAUUAAUUUUCCUUAUUCUUUUUUCUUUUGAUUUAUUAUUAUAGAUUUUGGAGUUUAAAUGAUGUGUUUUAAAUAAUUGGUUUUAUUUAUUUUGGACUGUGAAUGCAUUAAUUUGUGUCGAUUUCUCAUGCAAGGUGGAGGUGCACUUUAGAUUGCAAUACAUUUCCCUGCAUGAUAAAACACGUUAGCAUUUAUUUAUUUAUUUGUCUUUUUUUCAUUUUUAUCCCGUAUUUAUAUAUUAUAUAUUAGCUGAUGCAAGCAAUGGACAACUAGUAACUCAUGACUCAGUGGUUGAUGCAAUAGCCUGCUACCUACUGGUCAUGAGUUCCAUAUUUGUAUACACCAUUUUUAGGUUUUGUUCAUAUUUGUUUGUUUUUCUUCCACUUUUUUGGUUCCUUUGCCCUUUAUAGAAAUGGAUGCAACUAAUUUGUGACUAAUUGCUCAUGACUAGGUCAUGGUUUUGACCCUUGUGCAACCCACUUUCUAUUUAUUUCAUUAUUUUUACCAAUUCAUUUUUUUAAUGUUAUUUUAUUUUUAAUCCUUUUUAUAUUUUUAGUCUCAUUUCUGUGACACUUGUUGACUUUAAUGACUGCCUUUGAUUUAUUUUAUUGUUUAAACAUCGAUUUUUAAUCUAUGGAUUUGGCAAUUCUCGUGUUAUUUAUCCAUGAUUAUUUUAUCGAUAUAUUGAUAGUAUUUUGCCGCAUUUUGAUUAAUCACAUAUGACAUUUCAAUUAUUGUUGAUAUGUGCACACCGAUUUUGAGCACAUUACCUAGUUGUUGUUUGCUCCUCAAUUUCCACCUGUCUUGUGCGUCUUUGCGUUAUGUGACCUUGAUUCGCAUCCUCGCAUCCCGAUUUUAAUCCGUGCACACCGAUUUUGAGCACAUUACCUAGUUGUUGUUUGCUCCUCAAUUUCCACCUGUCUUGUGCGUCUUUGCGUUAUGUGACCUUGAUUCGCAUCCUCGCAUCCCGAUUUUAAUCCGUGCACGUCCCAAUUUUACUCCUUUCGAUUUAAUUUUUAAUUGUCUUGUUAAUUUAAUUUGUGUUUGUUCUUUUUUUUUCACAUGGCUUACUUUUGGGCUUUCUUACAAUGAGAUCAUCCUCUUGCACCUACACUCAUGCAUUGCUUAUUCAUUGAUUAGUCUGAUUUAAUUGUUUCAUUAUUUUGAAUCCCCAUUAGGAAAAUGUACCCCCAUUCCCAUGGCAUGUAAUAAUUUUAUCGCUUUUCAUUUCCUUAUUGUUUGUUUGUUUAGCUAGUUACUAACAUAAGAAUAAAAUCAAUUUCUUUUCAAAAAGAUCAAAAA
rnacentral:lncRNA from 1 species